rnacentral:pre_miRNA from 1 species
UAUUAGUUCUUGGUUAAAAUUGUUCUGUCCGGUUGCUCCUCUGUGUAUUGGCCAAGAUGAGAUCAGUCAGAAUAAUUGAUACCCUGGACAAAAA